CAAUCCCCUUUUAGAGCCCAUAUCGGCAAGGGGGUUUACGACCUCGAUGUUGGAUCAGGACUUCCUAAUGGUGCAGCCGCUAUUAAGGGUUCGUUUGUUCAACGAUUAAAGUCCUACG
rnacentral:rRNA from 1 species